ACAUUGACUCAACUGACUAGACCAUUUAUUCACAAUAGUCCAGCAGUUUUUAUGUGUUAGACACAACAGACACACUUACGAGGUAAAGUGGUUGUACUCAACCAUAGCUGUGUAUCCGAGUCUCCUGGGGCACUUUUUAAAACAAUGCAGAUUCCUUGGAUGUAGUAUAGACUCAGUCAAUUUAAAUCUCUAAGAGGGCGAUCAGGACAUAUGUUUUAUCUUCUCUUUUUUUUUUUUAAGUUUCACAGAGGAUUGAAUAUACAGUUAGGAUUAAGAAUCACUGAGAUGAAUGAUUCUAUGCCACUUACAAUAGACAUAAGUAAGGCUAUUAUUAAACCAACUCAUAUAAAUUAUCAUCCAUCCAAGUCUUCAUUUUGCCUAUGUAAGAUAAUUUUUAAUGAUGUCUAAAUGUUUAGAUUGUUUUAAAUUCAGAAAUCAGGGAAAAAUAAUAACAAAUAAUUUUUUAGUCGUUGUAACACUUUAGUGAUCCCCUUCAAAUUGUCAAGGAAGAAGAAAGUUAACAUUGGUGUUGAGACACCAAUGAAGAAAUUAAUGGCUUGAAAAUAAAAUUGGAGGAAAUUAUUAAACUUAUCCUUAAAACUAAGUUGUAUAGUAGCAACUUAACUGCCACAGUAACAAUGUGACUCUCGUAGG
rnacentral:antisense_RNA from 1 species